rnacentral:rRNA from 1 species
GGUGAGUAAUACGUAGGAAUCUGCCCAAUAGUGGGGGACAACUUAGGGAAACUUAAGCUAAUACCGCAUAAGCACUAUGGUGGAAAGCAGGGGAUCGUAAGACCUUGCGCUAAUGGAGGAGCCUACGUCUGAUUAGCUAGUUGGUGGGGUAAUGGCCUACCAAGGCGACGAUCAGUAGCUGGUUUGAGAGAACGACCAGCCACACUGGGACUGAGACACGGCCCAGACUCCUACGGGAGGCAGCAGUGGGGAAUAUUGGACAAUGGGGGCAACCCUGAUCCAGCAAUGCCGCGUGUGUGAAGAAGGCCUUCGGGUUGUAAAGCACUUUCGAUUGGGAAGAAAAGCGCCGGGCGAAUAAUCCGGCGUCUUGACGUUACCAAGAGAAGAAGCACCGGCUAACUCUGUGCCAGCAGCCGCGGUAAUACAGAGGGUGCAAGCGUUAAUCGGAGUUACUGGGCGUAAAGGGCGCGUAGGUGGUUUGGUAAGUCGGAUGUGAAAUCCCCGGGCUCAACCUGGGAACUGCAUUCGAAACUGCCUGGCUAGAGUUUGGUAGAGGGAAGUGGAAUUCCACAUGUAGCGGUGAAAUGCGUAGAGAUGUGGAGGAACACCAGUGGCGAAGGCGUCUUCCUGGACCAAAACUGACACUGAGGCGCGAAAGCGUGGGGAGCAAACAGGAUUAGAUACCCU